AGUGAACGCUGGCGGUAGGCCUAACACAUGCAAGUCGAACGGCAGCACAGUAAGAGCUUGCUCUUACGGGUGGCGAGUGGCGGACGGGUGAGGAAUACAGCGGAAUCUACUUUUUCGUGGGGGAUAACGUAGGGAAACUUACGCUAAUACCGCAUACGACCUACGGGUGAAAGCAGGGGAUCUUCGGACCUUGCGCGAUUGAAUGAGCCGAUGUCGGAUUAGCUAGUUGGCGGGGUAAAGGCCCACCAAGGCGACGACCCGUAGCUGGUCUGAGGGGAUGAUCAGCCACACUGGAACAGAGACACGGUCCAGACUCCUACGGGAGGCAGCAGUGGGGAAUAUUGGACAAUGGGCGCAAGCCUGAUCCAGCCAUACCGCGUGGGUGCAGAAGGCCUUCGGGUUGUAAAGCCCUUUUGUUGGGAAAGAAAAGCAGCAGGUUAAUACCCCGCUGUUCUGACGGUACCCAAAGAAUAAGCACCGGCUAACUUCGUG
rnacentral:rRNA from 1 species